AUCCUGCGUAAGCGAAGCCCGAACACAAUUCCAGGCUAUAGUAAAGCUUCAUAGGGUCUUUCUGUCCAGGUGCAGGUAGUCCGUAUCUUCACAGACAAUUCUAUUUCGCCGAGUCUCUCUCCGAGACAGCUCCCAGAUCGUUACGCCUUUCGUGCGGGUCGGAACUUACCCGACAAGGAAUUUCGCUACCUUAGGACCGUUAUAGUUACGGCCGCCGUUCACCGGGGCUUCAGUCGCUAGCUUCGGUUACCCUAACCAACUUCCUUAACCUUCCGGAAACUGGGGCUAAUACCGGAUAGGAGCUCCUGCUGCAUGGUGGGGGUUGGAAAGUUUCGGCGGUUGGGGAUGGACUCGCGGCUUAUCAGCUUGUUGGUGGGGUAGUGGCUUACCAAGGCUUUGACGGGUAGCCGGCCUGAGAGGGUGACCGGCCACAUUGGGACUGAGAUACGGCCCAGACUCCUACGGGAGGCAGCGGUGGGAAUAUUGCACAAUGGGCGAAGCCUGAUGCAGCAACGCCGCGUGCGGGGAUGACGGCCUUCGGGUUGUAAACCGUCCG
rnacentral:rRNA from 1 species